rnacentral:tRNA from 1 species
GGACGGCUAGCUCAGCUGGUUAGAGCGUUGCGUUCACAUCGCAGAGGCCACAGGUUCGAAUCCUGUGCCGUCCA